CCUUUUUGAAAUCGGACAGUGUGGUUAGAUUAACGAGAGUCUUGUCUUUAAAAUGGUGUAAAAUAGUCAUAUGUUUGAAAAAUUGAAGUUUUUGCAAUUUUGAGGUAUUUGAAUAUCGCGCCACGGGAUUACACUGGCUGUUGAGUAGCCCAUAGAGGUUAAGAGGGCUGUAAGGGAGACAGGAUGUAAGGCACUCAAAUGUAAUGAACUUUUUCUAUAAUGUCUAACUUUGUUUUUGAUAGCUAAAUCAGUCAAGCUGUUAAUAAUACAGUUAAUUAUAGCUUGGCAGGCUCUUUCCAUAUUUUUUAUCAUCUUUAUUUCAAUAUCAAUUUAUUAAAAGAAAACUGUCCGUCGAUUGGAUUUCAACAUUUGUCACUAGAUGCUGUCCUGAAGAGAAAAAACACUCCAGUUUUUUUUGCCUGCCUCGUGUGGCCAACUUUGCCAACAUAUUCUGUAACUUGUACGGUCAUCACCUUGUACCUGAAUUUCAUAUAAUUUCCACAAGAGAAAGUUAGGUGUAUUCCUGUUUGUGCAAACCCCAUUUCCAUUUCAGUCAUUAUUUUAACAAAAUGUUAUUCUGGAUUCUGGAUUGAACAACGGUCUACCACUUCAACUACCACCUGACACAAUGGUCUGACUUUAUUUUUGUUUUUAAAAGGCUUUUGUAAAUUGGGUUUCACAUGGAGACAUGGUCUACCACCACCAGGGCGUAAGCCUCCUCUCCAGACACUCUUUGAUGAAUGUGCAUGGGCAGAGUGAGUCCUCCUGCUGCCUGCCCUGGUCUCCUCUCCCUCUGUUCCCCUCAGGGAGGGCUGCCAGGCGGCAUUAGUAUGAGACAGGGCAGAUCAGUCUCUACUCCCUCUGACAGUCUCUGAGCCCCUCAGUCCUCAUACAUUAAACAGAAUUAUGCAGCCCUACACAGAUGCCUGGAUCAAUGAGGUCGACAGCACAUGCCAACUGCUGCCAGAGAGACACUUUAGUGUGGUGAGAAAAAGUACCCACUGCAACCUGUGCCCAUCAAAGGAGGUUCCAUUGCCAGCUCAGACACUCCAGUCAGAGUUGAUUAGCUUGUGGCUGUCUCGGUGUAGACACUUUGCACUUUUGACUGUCGGCUAUGAUGUAGUGCAUGGCGAGAAGCCAGUGUUGCACAAUGCUGAUACCCCAGACGGGAAAAUGUGUAGGGAUGACUGUGACUGGCUUAGGCUUAGUCUGUGAAUAUUAAAGAGUAUGUGGUCAUGGACAUGUAUAAAUAAAGGUAAGGCUGGGUUUAAAAAAAUUGGAUUCUGGGAUAAGUCAAGAAUAACAUUUGUAUUGUCCCAACAAGAGUACAACACAAUUUGAAUCAUGUAAAUAUGCAAAAUAAGAUUUAAAGUGUCGAACAAAGUAAGACUCAAUUCAAAGCAGAGGAAACAGUUUAGAUUGAAUAGAAACCAGUCUUAACUACAAUUCAUAUAUUUCUUAGCCUGACGUUUGCACAUGAUUGAGUGCAGAGACAUUUUGUUUCUAAUAUAGGAUUUAUGGAUCAAACAGCCCCAAACAGCCAAUCCACAAAGGACUGGCACAAGUGAAUAUUGUUUAUUGUUUCUAUCAAGUCAUUUAAGUCAAGUCUGAUGCAUUAAGACAGAUUGCAGUCUUCAGUUAUUCACAGUCCAAUCUGCAAGUGACCAAACAUUUUGGAGCGAUCAACUAACGGAUGUCUGUCACCGGGGAGAGAGUCCAAAUGGGAACGAGGGAGAAGACGAGGUGCUAGCAUUAUAGUAGAAACCAAACACUCCAGUCAUUACGCUAAAGCUAGUUAGCAUAGGCUCGUGAAAUUACCUCUAACUUCCUUCAUACUAGAUGAAUAAAAAAUGGUGUCCAUGAGUUCAUCUGAUGCUGGGGAAUUAGAUAAACGGCUUCAUUGCCAAAAUCCUGAAGUAUCCCUUAAAGCAAUACAUUUUUGAAAUUACAAACCUGAUUCAUAGCUGCUGGAACCACCGGGUACAUCUGAGUACUGUAUCAAGGUUAAAGGAUAACUCUGACCAAAAAUAAACAAAUGUGUAAAUUGUACAUUACCUUUUGAAAAAGUUUCCUUUUCACACCUUAACUUUAUGAUUCAUUGUUGAGGAUUAUAAUAUUCAGGAGUGAACAAAUGACAAUAUUUACAUACAUACAGUCAGGUCCAAAAUUAUUGUCACCCUUGAUAAAGAUGAGCAAAAAAACAGUAUAAAAUAAAUAAUACAAAUACUGAGCUACAGUUGAAGUCGGAAGU
rnacentral:lncRNA from 1 species